CUAGAUUCCACACAAUUCCACAGAAUGAGGGCCAGUGCCUUGUCCCCUCAUCAAGGCCCUGCCCAAUAUCCAACUUCCACCAAGGCCACGCCCCGCCCAGACUCUGCUCAAUUCCUAAGAAUGACAGUCGGCCCCCCUCAACUUCCCAUCUCUAACAGACUAACACCCGCCCCCUAGGCUCCGCCCAAUAAGCAAUUAUUUACCCUGGCGCCCCACCCCCUCACCCAAGCCCCGCCCCAUCCAUGUCCCAACACACAAACUGAAGCCCAUUCUCUCCCCAUCAAACUCCCCAGCAGUUGCUGGACCUUCCAGCUGUGUGAAAGUACUCGUCUGGUGAGCUGUGGAUUGGGUGGCCCUGCAAACAAGGCUCACUUCCGGGAUAAAGCUUUGGGGGCCCAGAAGCAAGAUGCAUUUCCGGGAGGGUGGGACAACGGCGCAGAGACAACAAAAGUAUUUUCGUGGGCUAACCCUGUUCCUUGAUUCACUAGGCUUUCUUUAGAGGGGAAGACGGGGUUCUCGUCAGACCCCUGUGCCAUUUCCCGACAUCCCCCUGCGUUCCCAGUGCCAUUUCCCGACAUCCCCCUGCGUUCCCAGUGCCAUUUCCCGACAUCCCCCUGCGUUCCCAGUGCCAUUUCCCGACAUCCCCCUGUGUACCCAGUGCCAUUUCCCGACAUCCCCCUGUGUACCCAGUGCCAUUUCCCGACAUCCCCCUGCGUUCCCAGUGCCAUUUCCCGACAUCCCUCUGCGUACCCAGUGCCAUUUCCCGACAUCCCCCUGUGUAAUAUCAGAGAAACUGAUGCAAGCAGAGAUUGGUUUUUAAUCUUUAACGUGGAGAGUUUAAGCUAGCUGACUGGAUAGGACUCUUGUCCAAAGCUUUCAGUGCAGGGUUGGUUCUGUUCCAGGCUACAGGAGGCAGGAUUAAGAUUAUCAACAUUCUGGAAUCUGUGAGCCAUCUCCCAGCCAUUUGAUCUAAUAUUGUUCUUACUUGAUGUGGGACACUUACUAUAACACUGCCUCCAAAGAUCAAGCAGCCUCUUCUGGAUCAUAAUGAAGCCUGAGCAAGUCAAGAUGAUACAAGGUGAUUACGUUUUCACAUCCCCAAAUCCAAAGGCUGAUAUUUCUCAUUAUUUCAAACUGGCAUCUUUUUGCCCUGACCAUCUGUUAAAAUAUCUUCUGUUUCAAUGCUUUUUGGUCAUUCCACAUGCUUAGAGACCCCCAUGUUGUUCAAUAUUUGCCCAGGCUUUUUAGGAAUUAAAGAUCACCUUUAACCAAUUGAGCUUUUUAGGCUUUUCUUUU